rnacentral:lncRNA from 1 species
GUACAGCCCGCCUCGGUCUCUGGGGUGCUAGAUACACUCUGCCUGGAGCCCAGGAGCCCUCACCUCAGUCGGCGCUGCAGAACCAGCCCAGGAGAGCAGCUGGCCUGUCAUCUGCUGAGGAGCGGAGGCGUGCGGGGAUCCGGAGGGGAAGGGGGUCUGGAGUGCUCCGGGGGAGACCCUCAGGGACUGCCCUGCUGCUGGCAGCGCCUGGGCCCACGGCUGAUGGAGGCGUCUCCUGGCCCCCAGGGCUGUGCCCAGGACUGCAAUGGCCUCCCACACUACCUCACUACCCUGGUCCAGGCUCACUGACAGAUGAGGAAACUGAGGCAGGGGCCCCGGUCUCACGGCCAUUGGUGCAGAGCUGGGAUCCACGACCAGAUUCUACCAAUUAAAAAAAGGAAAUGUGGGCCGGGCGUGGUGGCUCAUGCCUGUGAUCCCAGCACUUUGGGAGGCCGAGGCAGGUGGAUCACCCAAGGUCAGGAGUUCAAGAGCAGCCUGGCCAACAGGGUGAAAUCCCAUCUCUCCUAAAAAAACAAAACA